rnacentral:rRNA from 1 species
AACCUGAAACCGUGUACGUACAAGCAGUAGGAGCAGGCUUUGUCCUGUGACUGCGUACCUUUUGUAUAAUGGGUCAGCGACUUAUAUUCAGUGGCAAGGUUAACCAUCUAGGGGAGCCGUAGGGAAACCGAGUCUUAACUGGGCGUUCAGUCUCUGGAUAUAGACCCGAAACCAGGUGAUCUAGCCAUGGGCAGGUUGAAGGUUGAGUAACAUCAACUGGAGGACCGAACCGACUAAUGUUGAAAAAUUAGCGGAUGACUUGUGGCUAGGGGUGAAAGGCCAAUCAAACCUGGAGAUAGCUGGUUCUCCCCGAAAGCUAUUUAGGUAGCGCCUCGGACGAAUACUACUGGGGGUAGAGCACUGUUAAGGCUAGGGGGUCAUCCCGACUUACCAACCCUUUGCAAACUCCGAAUACCAGUAAGUACUAUCCGGGAGACACACGGCGGGUGCUAACGUCCGUCGUGGAGAGGGAAACAACCCAGACCGCCAGCUAAGGUCCCAAAUUACUACUAAGUGGGAAACGAUGUGGGAAGGCUCAGACAGCCAGGAUGUUGGCUUAGAAGCAGCCAUCAUUUAAAGAAAGCGUAAUAGCUCACUGGUCGAGUCGGCCUGCGCGGAAGAUGUAACGGGGCUAAGUAGUAAACCGAAGCUGCGGCAAUCUACUUUUGUAUAUUGGGUAGGGGAGCGUUCUGUCAGCGGUUGAAGGUGUGUGGUAACGCAUGCUGGACGUAUCGGAAGUGCGAAUGCUGACAUGAGUAACGAUAAAGGGGGUGAAAAACCUCCUCGCCGGAAGACCAAGGGUUCCUGUCCAACGUUAAUCGGGGCAGGGUAAGUCGACCCCUAAGGCGAGGCCGAAAGGCGUAGUCGCUGGGAAACGGGAUAAUAUUCCCGUACUUCUUACCAUUGCGAUGGGGGGCCGGAGAAGGCUAGGUGGGCCUGGCGAUGGUUGUCCAGGUUCAAGUGCGUAGGCUUGAGAGUUAGGUAAAUCCGGCUCUCUUUAAGGCUGAGACACGACGUCGAGCCACUACGGUGGUGAAGUCAUUGAUGCCAUGCUUCCAGGAAAAGCCUCUAAGCNGGGUGUGAAGUCAUUGAUGCCAUGCUUCCAGGAAAAGCCUCUAAGCGUCAGAUUGUAAGGAAUCGUACCCCAAACCGACACAGGUGGUCGGGUAGAGAAUACCAAGGCGCUUGAGAGAACUCGGGUGAAGGAACUAGGCAAAAUGGUACCGUAACUUCGGGAGAAGGUACGCUCUCGACGGUGAAGUCCCUCGCGGAUGGAGCUAUUGAGAGUCGCAGAUACCAGGUGGCUGCAACUGUUUAUUAAAA